CAGUAGCCACGGUAAUACGAAGGGUGCAAGCGUUACUCGGAAUUACUGGGCGUAAAGCGUGCGUAGGUGGUGGUUUAAGUCCGUUGUGAAAGCCCUGGGCUCAACCUGGGAAUUGCAGUGGAUACUGGGUCACUAGAGUGUGGUAGAGGAUAGUGGAAUUUCCGGUGUAGCAGUGAAAUGCGUAGAGAUCGGAAGGAACAUCUGUGGCGAAGGCGACUAUCUGGGCCAACACUGACACUGAGGCACGAAAGCGUGGGGAGCAAACAGGAUUAGAUACCCGUGUAGUCCCUGUCUCUUAUAC
rnacentral:rRNA from 1 species